rnacentral:lncRNA from 1 species
AUCAAGGCUAAGGUUUUGUGGGACUUGUUGUUUACCCUUUUUAGUGUGUCCUGGGUUCUUCAUUCGUCAGUUAAAGAGGUCCUUCUUGGGCGGCAUGGCUCGUUUGUGGGCAAGAAGAGAAGAAAGGUUUGGAGAGCAGCCCCUUUGUGUCUCUUUUGGACAGUUUGGAAGGAAAGAAAUAGGAUUGCUUUUGAAAAUCAGGAGUUCUCAAUUCAAAGGUUGAAAUAUUCUUUUGUUAGUAACUUUCGGUAGUGGGCUGAGUCGUGUAUAGAUGAAGGAUCUAAUUCUUUAAUCAACUUUUUUGAUUGGUUGGGCUCUAGUUGAGGGCGGGUGUGUUUUUUUAUCCCCUCUCUCUUUUGCUUUUGCCUUUAGGCACUUGUUGUAUACUUCCUAUAUGCUUUGGGUCAAUCGUUAGGCGCCCUCUUCUUAUUAAUAUAUACUUUUUCUGUGUCUUUGCCUAUCCAAAAAAAAAAAAAAAAUGAUCCUCAAGAAAAUGGUAUGGCCUAUAUUGCGCACCUAAAUUGAUAUGGGGAAUGGAUUUCACACAAUAUGAACACGUUGGCAUGCAAAAUCUUCAAAAUAAACAAACAAACAAAUAAAUAAAUAAAUAAAAAUAGAACAAAUAGGAGAAGGACACAAUUAUGCUUCAACCUCUACACUAAUUGGAAACCCCAAAUGUCCCAUUUGGAAUGAGUUCUGGGAAAUCAAAAGCUCUUUUUUAAGCCAAAUAAGAGCUUUUCUAUUUAAUUAGGUAAUUUUAUUUAUAGAAAUUUUUGCUUAAAUAUCAAUAAGGAAGCAAAAGAUUAACAAUGUGGAAGAGACAAUAUCUCUUUAAGGGCUGAAGGCUUACCUUGAUCAAAAGCACCCUAUCAAGUCUUCCGAUUUAUUUCAUGUCUCUUUUUAUCAUUCCUCGAAAAGUGCGUGCAAGACUCAAAAAGAUCCAAAGAGAAUAUUUAUGGGGCGGUGGUGCCUUAGAGAAAAGGCUUCAUUUGGUGAAUUGGAAAAUAGUUUGUGCUAAGAAGAAGGAGAGAGACCUAGGAAUUCGUAGUCCUGUGGCCCUUAACAAAGCUUUGCUUAGGAAGUGGAGUUGGAGAUUUUCUAAAGAAAAGGAGUCCCUUUGGAAACAAGUCAUCAUUGGCGAGUUUGGUUUAGAAGGAAGAGGGGUGAUGUUUGAGAGAAGUGAGAGGAGGCUAUGGUGUGGGGGUGUGGAAAACCAUUAGAAGUGAAUGGGAGGGCAUACGAUGUAGAUCUCGCUUCAUAGUAGGGAAUGAGAGGAGGGUUAAGUUUUGGAAGGACUUGUGGUGUGAGGACCAAAAGUUGAAAGAAGUUUUCCCUAAUUAAUUCCUUUUGGCAGUUGAUAAAGAUGGUUGGGUGUCAAAAGCUAGGGAGGAGGGUGGGGAGAUGGGUAGUUGGAGUCCUAGCUUCUCAAGACAUCUUAAUGAUUGGGAGAUGGGAGAAAUGGAGUCCUUUUUUUUAUAGAGACAAAAGCUUGUAUUAAGAAGCACCAAAAAAAGGGGGCGUACCCAACGUAUACAAGCAGUAUACACAAAAAAACCAACCCAAGCACCAAAAAAUAAAGAAAAAGCCUAGAAAAAAGCAAGGCUUUCCACAAUAGAGAGUCUCCAAAAAAUUCAAAUGAGAGGGGAUCACCACAUCCAAUAACUAUUUAGAUUGCUCCACAAAGGAUCUAAAAAAGAGAACCCUCAACCUUUGGUCCAACAAUUCUUCAUCUUCGAAGAUCCUUCGGUUGCGCUCUCCACAAAUACGCCAAAAUAAACAAAUUGGAACCAACCGUCAAAUUGCUCUCUUCUUCUUCCCUAGUACCUUGAAUUUCCAUUCUAAGAGAGGAUUUCUCACUGAAACCAGGAACACCCAAACCAAACCAUAAGUUGUUAACAGCACUGACCAAAGCAGUCUUGUCCUAUCACAAUGAAUCAAAAUAUGAUCAGACUCUUCACUAUUUUUACAAAGAGAGCAUCUAUUAACCAAGGGUCAUCCCCUCUUCAUCAACGUAUCUACAGUUAAUAUCUUCCCCCACAAUACUUCCCAAGCAAAAAAACGAGUUUUAAGAGGGGAACCUAAUCCCCAAACCUCUUUAGCUAGAAAUAAAAGAUUGUUCUCAGCCCUUAGAGAAUUAUAAUAAGACUUGACACUAUACUUUCCCCUCCCAUCAUUUUUCCAGAUUAAAGUGUUCUCCCCUUCAUGCACUUUUGAUGAAGAAAUGUGUUCAAAAAACAGAGACACCUCCUCUAGCUCCCAAUCUUAGAAGGGUCUUCUAAAAGAAACCUCCCAACAUCCACCUCCACCCCCUUCCCUUCCCCAUAAAUCUGCCACUAUUGCAUUCUUGUGGGAAGAAAGCUUGAAAAGAGUUAGGUAAACAUCCUUCCACUUAAUCUCCCCAACCCAAUUAUCCCACCAAAAUCUUGUGCAUCCACCAUUUCCAAUGCAGAUGCUGGUUCUAAGAAAGAAUUUUUCCCAGCCUUUUCUAUUGUCUUUCCAAAGACUUAGCCCAUAAGAAUCCCUCACCUCUCUAGUGGUCCAACCCCCCUCCACCUCCCCAAAUUUUCCACGAAUGACUUUCCUCCAAAAACUUAGCCCUUAAGAAAUGGAGUUCUUGUUUUGGAAACUUCAACUUUUGGUUGUGAGAAGAGAUGUGGAGGAUAUUUUGAGUUUGAGAGAGUAGGAAUGGCUACUUUUUUGUUAGUUUCCUUUACUAUUCCUACAUGAGGGCUUUUAGUGAUCUUUUCCCGUGGAGUAUUAUUUGGAGGUCUUAGGCUCUAGUGGUAAGUUUUUUUGCUUGGGAAGCGUCUUGAAACAAAAUUUUGACUAUCAACCAGCUGAAAAUGAGGGGAUGGAAUAUACCGAAUAGAUGCUACUUCUGCAAAGAAAAUGAGGAAACCAGUGACCAUCUAAUUCUAUUUUGUAACAAGGCUAAAAUGUUGUGGAAUUUGAUCUUCUCCCUUUUCGAUGUGUAGUGAGUUUUGCAUUCCUCUGUUAGGAGGAAUUUGCUUGGUUGGCACGGAGCUUUAGUGGGUAAAAGAAGGGAGAAGGCCUGGAGGGCUGCCCCUUUAUACUUAAUGUAGACUAUGGAAGGAAAGGAAUGGAAGAGCGUUCAAUGAUGUCAAAUGGUCCAACCAAGCUAUCAAAUAUUCUUUCUUGUGUACUUUUGUGAAUUGGGCUAGGGUGUAGAUAGAGGAUCACACUUUGUCUAUAAUUAACUUUAUAAAUGGGUUGUUUGUUAAGUGGAAGAAUUUCUUGUCUCCUUACUGCCUAGUUUUUUAGGCGUUUGUUUGUAUACUUUGUGUGUACUAUUUUCGCCAUUUUUAAGUGUUUCUAAUGCAAACCCUUAUUUACCUAUCCCAAAAAAAAAAAAAACUAAGGAAGCAAAAAAUAAAUGUUGCUUCUCAUGGAACCCUUUUUUAGCUUAUGCAAAAAACUUCAUACAUAAAAAACUUUAAUAAUAUCAGGAUCUAGCUAAAGCUAAAAGCAAAAAGCCUUUUUUUUAUAAGCAUGCAAUAUAUAAAUAUAUACAUAUAUAUAUGACUAAAAAUAUACAAAAAGAGUUACAACGGGGGCACGCCAAAGUACCCAAGGAGUAUACAAAGAACGCCAAGCAAAAAGAACAAAACAAAGAGACAGCUCCUUCAUUCUUCCACUUCAAACCCAACCAAUCAACAAAACAAAGAGACAUAGCUAUCUCCUUUAUACAAUGCCUAACACAUUCCAAAAAAUUGCAUAUAAAAAAGGAUUUGAGCAUUAUUAUCAAAAGCCCUUCAAUUUUGUUCCCGCCAAGUUGUCCAAAAUAAACACUAAAGGGCAAUCAUUCAUGCUCUCUUCUGCCUUUUCCCAACAUAGGAGUCAUUCCAACUAAACAACAUCGGUCUUGUUGAAGAGUGGAUCGCCCCAGCUAUCCCAAAAAUGGAAAAGACCAACUACAACAACAUACUUGCUAAGGUGCAAUGCAGAAGAAUAUGGUUAAUGGAUUCUUCUUCCCUUCACAAAUGUAACAUUUGUUCCCUACAAACACCCCUCUCCUUUUUAGAAAAUCCAAGGUCAAAAUCUUUCCCAACAUUACUUCCCAUGCAAAUAUUACAUGUGUUGGGAAAGGUUUUUGCAUGGAAAGUAAAAAGCUUCAACCAAGAACUUUCCACUUUUAGACUCCAACCAGGCUCCCAUCCUAGGUAGCCCGUCUCACCAUACGCUUUUGAAGAUCACUCCUAAAGGCCUCCACCAUCUCUAAUUCCCAAUUACAAAAUUGUCUUUAAAAGCAAGGGCCCCAAAGUCUCCUCUCCCCAACCUACUCCCAUGCAUCUACUGCCCACAAGUCUUUUAAAUCAACUCAUAUAAUAUAAGGAAGGAGUCUCUCAAAGAAGAGUCACCAUACUACCUAUCCAACCAAAACUUCCCUCUCCUUUCAUUGCCUAAAAUAAAGUGAACUCUACUUUUAAAAACCUCCCAUUAGUUUCUACUUGUCUUCCAUAAGCCUACACUAAAACCUUCCCUUAGCACACUAGAGCACCAUCCUCCCCCUUCUUCCCCAAACUUCCCAAUAAUAGCCCGCUUCAAUAGAGACUCUCUUUCUUAGGCAAGACUCCAACUCCACUUGCCCAAAAGAGCAGUGUUUAGAAGAGUAAGAUUUCUAAUACCAAGUCACCCUUUUUUCUUAGGCAUGCAUACCAUAGAUCAAUUGACCAAAUGAAGUUGAGCCUCAUUUGGAAAAAAAGGCUGCUUCCUGCUCCUUAGAAUCCCAUAAAGCAAUCUGCUUCAAAGCCACUCCUUUCCUAAAUGAAGCAUUCCCAAAUACCUCCUUAUUCCAAAAAUUUUAGGCCCUCAACUACUCCAGCUUCCAAGCCAACACAAAACUAGAAGAACCUUGACUCAAUAGCCUGUCCACCGGACUUUAAUCUACUCUCUGAAGCUUUUGCUCUAAGCCACAUAUUUUCAAACCUAAAAGGAGUUUUGUGUCCCCCCCCCCCCACCCAUUCUUCCCAUCUCCAUCUAACAAAAUUGGGGCAAGAUCAAACACUGACCCAGUCAGAAUGCUCUGUAAAAGAUCACCAAAAUGACUAUCCUAAUCUUUCAAAACAAGGAACCAAUCAAAUCUUGAAGCAAAUUGAUUAUUUAUACCUUCCCACCAGGUACAGGGUCCUCUAAUUAGAGUUAGAUCAUGCAAAUUAAGCUCCUCAGUUCUGUCCAAGAAACACCUCAUAGUAGAUGAACACUUGGGACACUUCCUCUUUUCCCUCAGAAUCUUAGCAUAUUGACAGCUUCAUGGACACACCAAGGAUCAGUUCAAAACCCUCAAAUGUCAGUCAAUUCUUCCCAAAAGUCCUCUCCCUGCCCCCUUAGAAAAGGCCCAUACACCUUAGUAAAAAUCCAUACAAAAUUAUCCUAAUAGCUCAUGAAUUGGCAAGAAAUGGAAAAGGCACACACCUCCAUCUCGAUAACCUCUAAAACCCAACUAUCCCAUAAAACAACUACUCCCCUAGCUUCCACCAAGCCCCACUCAAGGAAUCCAUUGACCCCUAGAAAGCCAAAAGCAAAAAGCUACCCCAAAACAAGGUUUUCUUAUUCACAAUUUUUACAAAUUAAAUUUUAUCUGAACAGUUUUAAUCUUUCCACACUAAGGAAAAAAAAAGCCAUCCUAGAAUGCGUCUACAAUAUAUCCCCACAGUUUCAGCCACAUGUCUGGAAUUAGACUUCUUUUAAAAAAUUUAGACAGGUGCAGUGUAGUGGGGUCAGUGUAGUUUGGUUUCAUUGGUUUCUACCCUCAAACUCUAUUUCCCAUGACUAUGGUUGGCAUUCAAUAAACCCCUACCUCCAACCCAACAGCGAGAAAAAUUCUCUUUUCACAUGAUAGAAAAAGACGAUGCUAAUUAAUAUAAAACCCACAAACUUAAAAAUUUAACUAACCAUGUAUUCCUUUGAAGCAACAAAUUCCACUGUUCCUCUACAUAGCUCAGGCCUUUCCUCAGCAUCUCUACGCCUGCCAUCUGGCCCCAAAUUGCAAUGGUAGUCACGAGGUGUUUCAUCAGUAAAUCCUGCAAAGAAAAUGGUAGGUAUCAUAAAAAUACAACCUUAAUAACUGUUGAGUAAGAGCUAAAAGUGCAAAUUAUUUUCAAGGAAAUGUUCUAAUGAUCCUAAUGAGUGAUAGGAUUUAUUUGAAAAUAUAGGGCUUUUUUUGUAUGUCAAUAACAAGGAACAUAGAAUUGGAAAAGCUCCACGCAAUUAUGGCAGUGUGCAUAUGACAAUAGGGAUCUAUGCAUUCUCAAAAGAAAUAACCAAGAUUUAGAGACAUUUCCAUAACACAUCACUACAAUUGAAUCAAGAUGACAAGUCCAAUAACUUUUUUAAGCAAAAUUUAACAAUGAUUGGUGAAUAGAUCACGGCUACUAAUCUUCAAAUAAAAAAUGUAACUAUAACAACGAAAGAAAAUCUUGACAACAAUAAAGCCUAAAUGUAAUAUAUUUCAGGAAACUUAAAAACAAUCAAAUAGAUUAAAUUACAAAAAUGGAAAUAAAAGAAAAAAAAAUUUCCAGAAUGGAUAAAAUAUAAAAGAAAUAAAUAAAUAGAAUACAGAAACAGCUUAUACUCACCACAUAAGUUACAGAUGAAACGCCUUCCCUGAUCAAUAAACUUCAUGAAGGGAUUAAUGUAACCUUUGCAACGGGAGCAUCGAACAGGACCACUUUCUCCAAAAUCCACAACCUAAAAGAAGAAAGUUAAUGUAAAAUGACUCAAAUGAGAACUACACUGCAUGAUUGAAUAUCUUAUUUUAUAUAGCCAAUGCAAUAAACUAUUGGGAUUUUAUCUUCCCAAUACAUUGUGCAUUUUUUGGCAAAUUCAGAACUACUUCCCACAAAAAGAGAAAAUUUCCCAUUUUCCUGUGAAGCAAAGAUCGCAUAUUCAGACAUUAUUUUAUGUUAUAAGUAGAACCAUAUUGAAGGAGAAAGAAUAUGCAAAGCAAUUCAAAAAAGGAGAUCAAAAAGGGCCAGAAAAGGUCUUCAACCUAGAAACAAGCAAGUUAGGAACAAGACAGAGUAACCAACCAGAAAAGCAAUACUAAGCAAACAGGUGGUCCCAUGACAAAAAUCCAAGGAAUUAGAUGUCCCUCAGCAUGGAUCUAAGUGAAAUACACCCCCCAAAAAGCAAGUCAGGUCAUCAAUCUGUCUACAAGUAUGCAAGUAUCCCCAAGAGCAUCUGAUUUCAUUUUAACCCAAGUGCUCAAUGAUCCUCUCUUUCAAUCAGAAAAUUAGGCAUUUUCUCAAAACUAAAAGCCAAAUGAAUAUUUGUAACAUUUUCUGCCACUGAAUAGCCUACUUAAUAUUCAAACAUUCCUAAUUUGUGUGCAAUUAUUUGUUUUUUCACAGGCGAGUUACUUUUUUGAAUACCAUAAAGAAAAAAUCGCUACAAUUGUAUUUCUCCUUCAAAAUUGUUAUUUAUUCCCGUCCAUAUGGAACUCAAAAGUAAAUUGAAGUAACACCCUCCUAGAUCAUGAAACAUACCGUUACCAAUUCACUAAACCCAUAGUUGUGAAAGGCGCGCCUAGGCUCCGGGUGGCGCAACGCCACCCUCCAACACCUUGCCUGAAGGCAGGCGAUGCCCUUCACGAAGGCGCCACUUAGGCGCGCAAGGCGCAACGCAGUCCACAGGUGCACCUAGAUCCCCUACCUCCUUCUUCUCCUUCUCUUCUUCUCCGGCGUCGGGUUGCAGAGGGCAAAGAGAAGCCCUAAUUUCUUUUUUUAUUUUUUGGAACCAAAACAACGCUGUUUUGGCCCUGUUUUCCCUUCCAGCCCCCUUUUCUGGUUGUUUUCAACCCGACAACUCUGCCAAAUUUUCCCUAGCCUUAACUGUGUAGUGGAGAGGUGAAGAAGAUGAAGAAGAGGAGGAAAAAUAGGAGAAAAAUAGAGGAAAAAUAUAUGUAAAUUACGGUGCGCCUCACUUCACUAAAGCCUGUGCCUUAGGUGCGCCUUGCACCUCAGGCUCCGGGACUACUUUGCGCCUUGAUGCGCCUUAAGCCUUUUAAAACUAUGACUAAACCCUCAAACAAAGAAGCCCAUUGAAAAAAAAGGAAGAUCUAUUUCUUCUCCAUGCUUACUUCUAGACAUAUCUAAACACCCUCUCAAUAAAAAAAACUAUUACAUUCCUCCUUGCUCAAAUCCCUAAGGCAAACGAUAAUGGUCCACUUAUAAGCUUUUCAAAUUCCAAAUCAUGCUUCACUAACCAGUGAACAACCAAAACCCAUUUUUAGAGAAAGGCAUAAGAAUAAAUAAACCUAGCAUAUACAAACAUGAAAGUGAAAACAAAAUCAUUCACCAAAACCUUAAAGAAAGAUAGGAAAAUAAAGCAAUCAAUUCAUUACUUGGAUGGGCUCCUCAGAUGGAUGAGGAAGGGCCAAAGGUUGGACCAACAAGGCUAACUGCAUUCCUGAUGUUGUCAAAAGAUCAGCAGUGCAUGGGAUCUGUUGAAGCAACAUAAGAAAUUGAUAAUAAUAUCAAUGGUCUCGAUCAUUUUAAGCAAACAGAUCACAGUAGUAUAUUCGAGCAUUUUAAACAGUUUAUUAUUACCUGAUUGAUGGUGCACCUCAUGUAUCGUGGACUGCAAUUCCCAGUAUCCCUAACAAUGUAAUCACUUGUGGCGGGCUUCACAAAAAUACAAGUAAUGAUGAAUCAGAAAGAGCAAAGAUAAACAACAAUAAUAAGUCCUAUAGCUGUCACUCUACAUCACAUCAGGGUAGGCACAAAUGCAACUAAAACCAGGAGUUAAACAACAUAUUAGAACAUAAAAAGAUCCAGAACAUAAAACCAGAUGUCACAUAUCUCUGAUCAAAUAAAAAAAUUUCCAGCAUUUUUAGCUCACUGGUUAAGUGGAAUACCGGAGGAGGGUUAGCCUGAUUGCCCUGACGAGUUUCAUGCAGAAUCACAGAGGUAUUUGGAAUGGGCCGAGGAAUUUGAUUAGGAUCAAUCUUUGAUGGACCUGCCAAAGGUGCUCCAGUUUGACUCAUAGCAGGUGGCAUAGCAGCCAUAGAUUGAUUUGGCGGUGGUGGUGGCAUUCCAAACAUUCUAGGUGGUUGCACAGAACCAGGAAUUGUUGGUGGUGGAGCCACCUAAACAAAAUCACAGAAUCACAAAAGCCAGACUCUCAGAGAAAUAUGAAACUGAAAGACAAUGCAUGUGAUGAGGACUCAUUCAACAAUUACCAGAAAUGGUACUCAUGUCCUCAAACAAGAAGAUGUUUAGUUCAACCAACAUUACAAAGCAAAUAUAAAUCAAAUAAUCAUAUGGGGGAAGCUAUUACCCCUGAAUGCCCAUGUGCUUGUUGAAAUGUAUUUUUUAGUCCCAUAAGAAUUUUCUCAAAUUUCAACUGUUAUUGGAAAUCAAACUCAGGUUUAAUAAGAAUCUGAGCUUUAUUUAUAAGAAGGCAAUUAUUCAAAAAAAUCCUCAAAAAAACAAAAAUAUGUGCAUGCGUGUAUAGGCAAACAAAGAAUAUAUUAAAUAGUCUGCAACAAAAAAAAGGGGCGCACCCUGCAUCUGCAGGUGGUGUACAAAAGGCACCAAUAAAAGAUUAUCUGCAGUGCUAAAAUUAAGAUUAUGCACUGUUUCAAUUUCUUAUCAAGCAUAUCCAAUCCAAAGGUUAAAAAACCCUUUUGUUUGUAUUUUGUGUCAUGGACUAAGAUGUUUAUAGAAGAUGGUCCUUUUACUCUAGUUAGCUUCUUUGAUUGGUUGGGCAUUCAUUGAGGGUGGGUAGUAUUGUUGUAGCCCUUCCUGUUUUCUAGCCCCUUUUUAUCGGUUGUGCCUCUUGGUGGUUGAUGUAUGUCUUGUAUACUUUGGGUUGCUCUUUUUAAUAUAUAUACUUCUUUAUCUAUAAAAUAAAAUAAAGUAAAGUAAAUAAACAUAUAUGCAAGCAAGAGAGAGACAUUUUGAAACAAGAGUGCUAGCAUUUAUUUAAAAUGUUGGUGUUUAAAUAAAUGCAAGCACUCUAGUUCCAAAAUGUCUCUCACUUGCUCACAUUGAUUUAGAAAUUAGCUGAAAAGCUCAAAAUAAAUUUAAAGAAAAAAAGUGGUUAUCCAAUAACUAAUUAGAGUUAGUUUUUGCCUCAUUUGCAUCCCAAAAUACAUGACACAUUAUAUUUUAAUUUUUACAAUCAAAGUAACAAUUAUUUCCUUUUUUUUCUUUUUUUUUAUAAGUAAACGCACAGAAAAUAUAUAUAUAUAUAUAUAUAUAAAGGGUACCUUAAGGCUGACCUGAAGCAUACAUGGGGUAUACAAGAGGCACCAAAAAGCAAGAACAAAAAAAGAGGGGAUACGAAAAAUAAUCAACCCUCAUCUAGAACCCAACCAAUCAAAAAAGUUGAUUAAAGGAAGAGGUCCUUCAUCUAUAAUAGACUUAGUCCAAAACCAAAAAUUACAUACAAAAUAAUUUUUCAUCCUAUGAAUCGAAAGCUCCUCAUUUUCAAAAGCAAUUCUAUUUAUUUCCUUCCAAACCGCACAAAAAAGACAUAAGGGGACUGUCAUCUACACCUUACUACGCUUCUUGCCCAUGUUGAUACCAUGUCAACCAAGAAGGGUAUCUUUAACCGAAUAAGGAAGGACCCACAUCACUCCAAAAAGAGCAAACAAUAACUCCCAUAAAACUCUUGCCUUGGUGCAAUGAAUUAGAAUAUGAUUUUUCAUAUAUUUAAUAUCAAUUAGGUUUCGAUGAUAAUUGGUCAGGCCUUGGGUUUGCUCCCCAAUGGUCACCAGUUCGAGUCCCCUCAGGGCCACUGGAGGUUUACCCGGUCGUUAACUUCAGGACCCCGUGGGAUUAGUCGAGGUGCGCGUAAGCUGGCCCGGACAUCCACGGUUAUCUCAAAAAAAAAAAAAAAAAAAAAAAAAAAAAAAAAAAAAAAAAAAAAAUGAUAAAGGCAAUAAAGGUCCCCCGUUCUCAUUCUAAAUCACUAUCCUCAUGUGGCUAUAGAAUCUAUCACCAAAUUAAAAUACUAUAUUGCUCGUGAUCAUUUUCAAUAACUUCGAUUAACCAACUGUUCUUUUUUGUUGAUUUAUCACUCUUAAGAUAUUGAGAAUGGAAAUUUAUAACACAAGAGUUGAUGAAUUUUUCUAAAAGAUUUUCCAAAUAUUUUGGGUCAGUAAAUUUUAUUUUUUUUUUUGUGUCCUUUGGUUGGCCUUGGCAUACAUUGUAUGCUUUCUGCAUCCUAGGUUGCAGCAUGUUUAUAAAAAUGAACUAUUUCGCCAUACAAUUCAAAGAAACAUAAAUUCACAAUCAUCCUUGUGAAAGAAAAAAACACAAAAAUUAAAAUCUCAAAGCUUACCUGCCGUGGUUGCAUUGGCCAUGUCUGCAGGCCAUAUGGAGAACCAGAAGGCGGUGGCACACCUUGAGGUGCAGCUGAAAAUGGCAUGGCUGUUGGGGCUGUUUGCACUGGAGGACCUGGUGGAACAUUGGGAGCUGUACUUCCGAGGAGAGUUCGCAUGGUUGGAGGCUGGGAAGGUGCCUGAGUUGACAUCAUUGUAGGGGGAUGCCCAACUGGUGUUUGCAUUGUAUUGUCAGCCGAGGGAUACCGAGGUCCACCUUGCAAUGCUGCUGAUGCAAACAUAGGUGGCCCAUUACUAGUGGGCCCACCAGGUGCACUUGAAGGGGGAAUUAUCGGACCUGUGGACAAAGGAGAAGAUGCAAACACACCAGGUCGGGCAGCCACCGGGGGAAUAACUGGGCCAGCUGAGAAACCAGAAGCUGGGAAUGCACUAGGAGGUGCGGCAGAAGAGGAAGCGAAUGCGCUGGGAGGUGCCCCAGAAGAGGUGGUAACUUGACCACCCAUAGGAGAGGGAAAGGACCCAGUAGACGGUCUCGACCCAAAGGGCAGAGCCUGACUGAUAGGAUAACCAGAGGGCCUUCCUGGAGCCAUAUUCGGAGGGAAUGUGGAUUGUGGAGGUCCAGAUGGAGCCAUUCCUGGCCUUGCCAGAACACCUGACUGUGGCCCUGGAGAUGGCCCGGGCCUAGAAACAGGCGCCCCUCUAGGAAAAGGGGCAGAGUGCUGAGGAGCUGAAUAAGGGGCUGAUGAAUGGGAAGGUGGGGAUUGAAUAUAAGAGGGAGGAGGUCUAGGGGUAGAAUUGGGCACAGAAGGUGGCCGAUUAAUUUGCAGGUUUUGCAUAUUUUCAGCUAACGAAUCAGGCGUUCUUUGAUAAUUAGGAUUGUAAUUAGGUGGUGGUGGCGGUGUAUUCGUGGCUCUAGGUGCCCCUGGGGGGACAGGAGCUGCCAUUGUUAAAUCAAAUCAAACCAACAGAUCCCUUCUUCAAUAAAUCACACUAAAUUCGCCGAAAAACUCAACAACAUGCGAUCCAAAUCUACAAAUCGAGAAACAAAACAAAUAAAAUUUCCAAUUAACCUAACAAAAAUCACAAUCAAUAAACAAACAAUAUAGAUACCAUCAAGAUUUCAUCCCCAUGUACAAUCAAAUCAAUAAACGAAUUUAAACAACAUCAGAAAAAAGAACCUAGAAUCGGACAGAUCAGAUCUGUCAAUCGAACAUCAAUCCAACAACAAUUAGGGUUUGGAUCGGGGCCGAUCGCGAUAAGGGUUUUGCGGAGGGAGAUCUCCGAAUAAAUUAGGGUUUUGCAGGAGAGGGGAAGAGUGCGGAAAUGAGAUCGGGGAAGAAAGAAGAAGAUGGCAGGGGGUUAUGUAGAUAUCUAUAUGUAUGUAUAUAAAAGUACAGAACGAAUGGUUUCUCCCUGCAUUUUCUAAGGAAUCAAACAGGGAAAAAAAAAAUACAUAACAGAAUAAAAUCCCAAUUAACGGAAAAUUACCUAAUAACGAUAGAAAAAAGAGAAAAUAUGAUUGCUAACUCUGGAAAUCUCUUUGCCGCAUGAGAGUUACGAUCAGACUUCAAAUAGGUCCAGAAAAACUCUCCCUUCUCUCUCCAGACAUUACUGACAUAACUCUGUCUUUCUCCGUUUCUCCUUUUUUCCAAAAAAAAAUAUUAUAUUUAUAUUUUAUUUAAUAAUUGUUACUCAAAAUUAUAAAACUAAUAUUAAAAAUAUUUUUUAAAAAUUUUUCAAAAUUCAAUUUUUUACCGUUCUGAAAAACAAUUAAUAUUAGAAAUAUUAUUUUUCAAAAAUUUUCAAAUUUUAAUUUAUUACCAUAGAGGAAAACAAAUAUAAACUAAUAAUAAUCAAUUUUUGAAAUUUUUAAUUAGAGCCUCAAAAUAUAAUUUACAUUUACCUAAUUAUCCACUCGAAUUAACCAUUUUAAUUAAUUUUAAAAAUAAAAAAUUUAGAAUUUGAUAAUCAUCCCUAAAUUAAAAAUUUAGAAAAUAACUGAUUAAUCCCAAUAAUUGAACACAUAUUUCAAUCACAAAUUUAUAAAUUCAAAGGUUUUCUAACAUAGUUUGAACAAUAAAGCAUAAUUAUAAUUAAAAAUCCUAAUUAUUACCCAUUACCAAUUUUUUAUUAAUUACAUAAUUAAUUAUUAUAAAAAAUUUAUUCUCAUAAAAAAAUUUGCUAUGAUAUGAAAACAUGUUAAAUUAAUUAAACAAUCCAUUUGAUAGUAAUUAUAAGAAAUACUUUUAGGUUGAAAAGUAUUGUUUUUUUAUUUAAAAAAAAAUAUAGCCCUAUUUGGUUUUCAUAAAAUUGGACAAAAAGAAAAAAAAUAUAAGAAAGUAAAAAAUAAUUUAAAUUAAUUAAUUAUUUUUAUUCCCUAUUUCAAAUUCACUUUACUUGUUUUGACUCAUCCAUAUCAAUAUUAAAUAAUUUGAAAAUCUAUAAAUUGUUGAUUAAUUUUAAUUAUAUUUGAUUUAAAAAAAAUCAUGGGACAACCAAAUAUAAUAAAAUCUUUUUUUUUUUAAUAUUUUUUAUUUUUUAAUAUUUUCUGAAAAUUUGACAAAAUUUAGGAAAAUUUUUAGAGUACGUUUGGCAAAUUAUAGGAAACACUCUUUAAUUUAAAAAAUGUUUUUAAAAAAUAAUUAGAUAUUUAACAAAAUUUAUAAAAUACUUUAAAAAAUAUGAAAAAUCACUUGAACUAUUAAAAAAUCACUUAUAAUAUUUUUUGAAGAAACAUCUGAUUGGUGGAUUUUCUAAAAAUACUUUUAAAGAAAAUACUUUAAAAAUAUUUCGAAUAAAAAUACUAUCAAUAUACUCUUCAACCAUUUGACAGUGAUUUUAGAAAGUAUUUUUAAUUUUUUUAAUAAUUAAAAUUUUGUAUCAUUAAAGUAUUAAAAAUGUUAGAAAUAUUUUUUAAAAUCACUAUCAAACACAUUUUUAAAAUUUUGAAAAAUCACAUGUUUUAUAAAGAAACAUUUGAUAAAUUAUUUUUCUAAAAAUAUUUUUAUAGAAAACAUUUCAAGUAAAAAUAUUAUUAAAUCCACUCAAAAAAUAUAUUUAAUAAUAAUUUUAAGAAGUGUGGUAAUGUUUCAAAUACUUAAAAAAUACAAAUUUUUAAUGUUAUAAAUUUUAGAAUUGUUUCCUAAAAUCACUGUACCAAACGGAUUCUAAAGGUGCCAGAUAAGCUGCACAUCAGAGUUCAAUGGAAGGCCGGCCACCACAUGCUCGCCAUUGGGCUUUACCACUGCUUCUGGGCUUGCUACUGGGUCUGCUGUGGGGAUCGCAUGUUUUCCUAGCCUAUACUAACCUUUUAAAGACUUAAACAAGUAGCCCCCAUUUGCUCCAAACCCAAACACUGAUAGAAAAAUAUUUUGGGCUAAGUUCACGGCCAGGCCCCAAGCCCAUUAAAUAACUUAAACACGCCUGAUCCAACUCUCCCGAUUCUUAGAAUAAGGCGGGGCAUGGUCCAGCCCUUGGUUGGGAAUUUUUUUCCAUCUUAUAUGCAAAUAUUGGAUUUUAUGUGGAACAACAUAACUGGGAGCAUUCCAAAGGAGAUAGGAAACAUUACAACUUUAGAACUCUUGCUCCUGAAUGGCAACAAGUUAACAGGUUCUUUACCAGAAGAGCUCGGUAAUCUUCCAAACUUGGACAGAAUACAGAUUGACCAGAACCAAAUAUCAGGAUCAAUUCCUAGAUCUUUUGCGAACUUGAAUAAAACAAAGCACUUUCACAUGAACAACAAUUCAAUUAGUGGGCAAAUUCCAUCCGAGCUCUCCAGAUUGCCAGAACUUGUUCACUUUCUGCUUGACAAUAACAACCUAUCAGGAUAUCUUCCACCAGAAUUCUCUGAAAUGCCAAAGUUACUUAUAGUUCAGCUCGACAACAACCACUUCAACGGGAGUAUUCCAGCUUCUUACAGCAACAUGUCUAAAUUGUUGAAGUUGAGCCUCAGAAACUGCAGCUUGCAAGGAGAAAUUCCCAACUUGAGCAAGAUACCAUAUCUUGGUUAUUUAGACCUCAGUUCGAACCAGCUUAAUGGAACCAUACCUCCUGGUAGAUUUUCUGAGAAUAUUACAACGAUAGAUCUUUCUAACAACAAUCUUACUGGAACAAUUCCUGCGAACUUUUCGGGUCUUCCUCAUCUACAAAAAUUGUCACUGGAAAACAAAAAGUAUUCUAAUUAGUCAAAUAAUUUAAUUUUUCUCACAUUAAUCAGAGUAUUAACAUCAACUUGAGAUAUUUCCAUGUUGGGCAUGAUUUAAUUGUAUCUUUGUCCACAAAUUAAAAAAAGAAGGCAUAUAAUAUGGACAUUUUGGACAGCCACAGAUUAGCUGUCCAUAUGUGACAAAUUUCCAGGUUCUAUACACCAUAACCUACUGCCCUUAAUUCUCUCUGGAUAUCCUAGAAAAAUGAAAAAUGCAUUUUCUGGCUCUCAAUUCUGUCUUGUCUUUACCUAAUAUGGGCAUAAGGUAUACAACAAAACAUCUUUCAAUUGAGAGUCUACUUUUGUACCUGUCCAUAAUUCUUGGGGUGUUUUGAACCCAAUGGCUGAUGUAGGGCACCUGUUGAUCAAGUAAACUAAGUCAUCACUGCUUUCCCCCGGGAAGUACUUGGCAAACCUGUAUUCAACAACAGAGAGCAGACUCUUUCUGAAAUUGGUCUAUUUAUAUAAUGAAAUAAUCCAUUUUAUUGCACCAAAACAGGUAAAACUUGAUUCUCCUUGAUUUUCUAAGCACACAAUGCUCACAAAACUCAAGUUUUUCAAUCCUUUCCCUACAAAAUAAACCCUGCCUCUGUAAUUGAUACAAUCCCCUUUCACUCACAUGCUACAACUUAGUUUUGUUAAGAUCAUUCUUCAUUACAGGAUCAACCUUACCAACUGUUGUUUCUCCUAUCAAUGAGUGCAAAUUCUUCUUUUUAUUCCAAAGUUCCAUUAAUUUUCAGCUUUAAAUGUACAACCACUUUGAUCAAGCAUUACAAGAGAGAUACAGUUUCCAUUUAGCUGGGGAACAUAGCUCACCUCUUGCAGAACUCUUUCAAAGACAUCAAACAUUCUGAUUCUAAUUGACCCCAAUACCAAUGACCUUGCAAGCUUUGUUAUUCCCAAGAAAGGAGGUUCCUCCAUCCCACCUUUUAGCUGAACACAGGGAAGAGCAACCAGAGUAAUCAAAUCUUUGCUUCAAUCAACCUGUGAAACCUCUAUGAGAUCAUACCCAUCAGAAGCCAUAGUUAACAACUGUCUGAGUUACACCUCAUAUAUAUAUAUAUAUAUGGGUUCAACAAUCCUCAGUAUGAGCUCCAAAACCACACACUACAUUUUUAAUACGAAAGUAAAUGCUACUUUAAGACCCUUUAAAUAAACUAAUGGUAAAUGACAAUCAUAGUGAGACUUAAAAUGCAUAUAGCAAAGCUCAAACUAAGAAAAAAAAGUGAGCCUGUUUUUCACAUAACCAUAGUCAGUCAAGCAAGGCCAUCUCUGAAUAGUGUGAAAUGAUGUAAAGUUCCAUAAAAUACAUAACAACCUUGACUCAGAGGACUUCCAAUGGUAUCUAUUACACACGGUACAUCAACUAGAUUAAUAAUAUCCCAAAAUACCUGAAAUUCUGGUUCUGUCUCCUCCAGACUUGGGAAAUUAAUGUGAUAAUUUGGAGAUCCAUUUGCACUAGGUUAAAAGCCAUGCAAAGGGACACUCUUGUGUCAGCCUGUUUAUUUGUUGUGCAAUAUCCAAAAUGAGUAUAUUUUGGUUUUGGUUUUCUCUAUGAUAUCCACGAGUGACCAAACAAAUUCCUCAGGGAGAAUAAGAGGCCCCAGCAAGUAGAGGAGACUUGGGAAGAGACAGCCAAUAAAACAAACCAUGAUAGCAAGCUCCAUUGAGUGUGAUAGAACAGUGAACAGUCCAGUAAGGAAUGCCAGUCCCAUUGAGGCAAGUGACAUCCAUAACAACUGCAAGGCAAUAAAGUGCAGAUUCCAUUUAUUUUUCUCAUCAUUCCAAGAUGAUGUGAAAAGAAUCACUGCAGCAGUCAUGGACGUAGUCAUAGCUACUGUAUCAGUGACAAUAAAAGCUUUGAAUGCUGCUUUCCUUGUUAGCACUGCCAUCCCUUGAUGUGGACCUUCACUUUGGAUGCCCCCUGGAAGGGUGAAUGCCGCUGUAAAUGUGACUGUUGCAACUAAUGUUGCCAUUACUAUGAGGGUGCCAGCCAUUUCUUUACGCCUCUUGUCCCGUAUUGAUUCUAUUAUAAGAUCUUCUUGUUCUAGGAUUCCCUCUAACUUUUUAGCUUGCUUUGCACUUGCCGCCUUCAGAAUUUCUAUGGUCCGUUGCUGCAACAGAGGAGGCCAUAAAUGAAAUCUCUUUUCUGGUAAGGUUAGUAGUGAAAUGUUACUACAGAAGAGUAUACUAAAAGUAGUUUGAAAACCUUUUAACACAUCAAACACAUUUCAUUUUUAUAGUAAACAACUAAAAGAUGUAAUUGUCUCAAACUGUCACUUGGAAGGGAUGACUUUUUCUAUAUUUUUAUUUAUUUGUCUUUUCUUUAAAAUAGAAAAGAAUUAUAUGUACCUUUUUUGCUUCUAUCUUUUCAUCACCGGCACAACCAGUCUUGUUUGGAGUUGCUUGGGCUUGAUUCCCAUCCGUGCCUUCAUUUCCUUCAUUACUUGGUGAAACAAGCUGCCAAAAGUUAGAGACAAUGUUCAUUUCUACUAUUUGAUUGCAAUGAGAAAUGGAAAGGCAUUUGUGAGACUAAUAGAAAGCAGAAUGCUUAUCCAUUUAUUCAUACCUGAAAUUUCCUAGCAAUAUCCAGGACUGUUUCACCUUUUUUAUUGAUUGCCGUAGUAUCCAUAUUUCCUGUUUGGACAAGAGUACUUACGAUGCUGCUGUGCAAUUUUGCUGCUGCAAGAUGCAAAGGGGUGUUUCCAUCCUCAUCGGUCUCAUUCAAUAGAUCAUUCACCAUGAACAUAUUUUGAAUAUAUCGAACAACUUUAAGAUGUCCAUUUUGGGCUGCUACAUGAAGGAUAUUUUGGUGGUGAUUGUUGAGUAAUUCGACCCAAUAGCGGCAGCGCUUGACAAACAAUUUCAAUACAUUCAGAUGCCCAUUUUCUGCAGCCAUAUGAGCCGGUGUUGCUAAAUUGUUAUCGAGGAAAGAUCCAUUGGAAGGUUUUAGUUGUAGUAAAUGAUCGACCAAGGCUAAGGCACCGGAGGCUGCAGCAUAGUGAAGAGGACUUCUUCCGCAGCUAUCUUUUUCAUUCACCAAUUCCGGCAUAUGUUGGAUUAUAAUUUUCAUAGUCUCUUAAAAGGUAAAAAGUUCAAUUAGGAGACAAAAGAAGGACACGUGUUAAAUAGAUAUAAAGAAAAAAAAUUAGAAAUUUCCUAGAUCACACAAAUUUCUACUUGGUGCCCUAACAAACAAUUGGGGAAUUGUUGUUGAGUUAUACAAAUGAAAACGCCGGAUGAAACCAACCAAGGGGAUCAAAGCCUAAAAAAGGCAAAAAAAAGAAAAAGAAAAAAGGAGAAAGAAUCUUACUCAAAUCAGCUCUCAGAAUGGCCCUAUGGAGAAUCGUCUGGCCGUCGGAACUUCUAUGGAGAAGAGAAUAGGGAUUUGAAUUUGGUAAGAUAGUUUUCACAAUUUCACUUGCCCUCACAUCAACAGCCAUAAAAAGUGGAGACUCCCCAGCAUUGUUGAGUGAAACAAGCAGAUCUGAGUCAUUUGCUUCCACCAAUACAAGCACAGUAGAAUGGUGACCAUUUCUAACAGCUUCAUGUAAUGGCGUGUUGCCUUCCAUGUUUCUCAUUCUCAGUACCUGUUGUAUCCCUCCAGCUUCGACAUCUGUGGACUGGGUCGCCCAAUCAAUAAGAAAUUUUACCACAUGAACAUGGCCAGAUCUAGCUGCAAUGUGAAGUGGGGUUUCAUGUUUAGAGUUCUCAGUGAGAAGCGAAGCUGGUGUACCCUCGCUGAGUAACGCUUCCACCAUUUUCUUGUUCCCUACUCUUGCAGCAAUAUGAAGGGCUGUGUUCUUCCUGUGACUUGAGUCAAAGCCGACAUGUAAGUUCAGGUUACUGAUCUCAUCGUGAUCUACGGCUACGGCUAUCGCCUGAUGCACGCGCUGGAUCAAGAUGUCGAAAACCACUGAAAACAAAGCAUCGGCCAUUGUCUCAGGGCUCUCUACCGAAUGCCCUCUCUCACAUACAUUGAGAAUGACCUAGAAAAACCAAGUCAUUGUUAAAUCUUGACUAAUAUUUUAAUAUUAACUAAUAUUUAUUUUUAUUAAUCUUAAAUAAGACAUUUCUUUAUUAAAUAUUAAAUCUUAGGUAAAAUAUUAUAGAUACACGAAAUAAUUAUAAAAUAUUUACUAUAAAAAAUUAGUGAUCUAUGUAGAGUCAUAGUUAUAACAUAUUGGUAAAUAAGAUAAAAAACUACUCAUAUUAAAAAUAAAGUACCUAUUUUGACUUAAUAUUUAAAAAUUAUUUUAAACUUACGUUGUGAUAUUUUAAGUUAUUUUAUUAAGUGGUGGUGGUGGCGGUGUAUUCGUGGCUCUAGGUGCCCCUGGGGGGACAGUAGCUGCCAUUGUUAAAUCAAAUCAAACCAACAGAUCCCUUCUUCAAUAAAUCACACUAAAUUCGCCGAAAAACUCAACAACAUGCGAUCCAAAUCUACAAAUCGAGAAACAAAACAAAUAAAAUUUCCAAUAAACCUAACAAAAAUCACAAUCAAUAAACAAACAAUAUAGAUACCAUCAAGAUUUCAUCCCCAUGUACAAUCAAAUCAAUAAACGAA